rnacentral:tRNA from 1 species
GCCUGUUCCGGGGAGCGGGUCGCGCUGGCGCUGCGGCCGCUGGGCGGGCGGUUCCCGCAGCCGCCGGACGGGUUC